AAAAGUUUAUUUCAGCUCUCUUCUUUCAUUUCCAACCCAGAAAAGCUAAGAAAUGAAUGAGAAAGGGAAAGAAAAAAAAAUAAGAAAAAAUACACUAUAAUUAAAGGGAACUAUAUUCGUGAACAACGAAAAGCGGGGUCAUUAAUUGUGGUCUUGGGCCUAUUAGGGGCCAAAAACUUGACCAAUUCCAAUAAAACUUGGCAUGAUUUAAGCUUAGUGUAUUAUGAGUCAGUUUACAAAGUUUCAAAGCCAUAUGAUAUAUAUUAUAGAAAAUGUGGCAUUUUUUAUAUCUCAACUUUGGUUGCUGAAUUGUGACGUAUAGAUAGAAAAAUUUCAACUUUCAAAUUUUGGCUUCAAAAAUCCCCCCAAAACACCA
rnacentral:lncRNA from 1 species